rnacentral:rRNA from 1 species
UACGUAGGGGGCAAGCGUUGUCCGGAAUCAUUGGGCGUAAAGCGCGUGUAGGCGGUCCGGUAAGUCCGCUGUGAAAGUCGGGGGCUCAACCCUCGGAUGCCGGUGGAUACUGUCGGGCUUGAGUACGGAAGAGGCGAGUGGAAUUCCUGGUGUAGCGGUGAAAUGCGCAGAUAUCAGGAGGAACACCAAUUGCGAAAGGCAGCUCGCUGGGACGUUACUGACGCUGAGACGCGAAAGCGUGGGGAGCAAACGG